AAAACGAACAGGAGACUCAUGGCAUUUCAGAAAAGAAGAAAUCCAAAUGGCCAGCACACCUGGGGAAAGAGCUCAAUGUCAUCAGUCAGGGAAAUGCACAAUUAACCCACAGUGAGAAACCCACCGGAAUGGCUAAUGGCGAGGGCCGACAGUAUGAAGUGAUGGCAAGGGUGUGGAGCAGCAACCUGAACCUCCAAACCUUGCUGGGGAAGAUGUAGAUUGGAGUAACCCCUUUGCAAACGUUCUGGCCGCGUCUCCUAACACAACGCACACACCCGGCCUGCGAGCCAGCGGUGCCCUUCCCGGUACCUUCCCCCGAGGGGAGUGCACGCGUGUGUCUUCCAGGCGUGCAAGAGCCUUCACAGCAGAGCCAUUGAUAAUAACCCCAAGGUGGGAGCAUCCCGGGACUCAUCCGUGGUAGAAGGGAUAAAUGAACGGUGGCCUGUUCCUACCAUGUGUGUAUGUGGGAGGGUGGGUAUUAAUUACUAGGGAAGGGGCACGCGGGGGCCCUCCGGGAUGGGGUGCGGGCGUGUCCUUAAUCUCGGUGUAGGUGGAGUCACGGGGACACAUCCACGUGAGGAAACCCCUCAAGACGUGCCCUCGGAUGUGUGUGUUCUGUUGCGCCACACACAAGUUUUUUAAAUCACCUUUUGGGUUCUUCCCGCGUGCCACGUCCUGUUCUGGCCCCUUCACUGGGGCUAACACCACCCGCUUCAUUGGGAACGUUUAUUUCCAUUUCCCACAGAGAACGCUAAAGCUCAGGCAGCUGGUUCCUUGACUCCAGCCGCUCCAGAUUCGCCCAGCGCGGGAGGGGCAGGGCCAGGGUGCAGGCCCAGGUGUGUCUGACUGUAAGGCCCGUGCUUCGUCCGAAUUCAGGGGUCUAGACUUGCCCGUGCGUGCUCGCUUCGUUCCGUCACGGCGUUCCUUUCAGGCGUACUUUCCCCGGGACACAUGGGUAAUCCGCUGUGUUGGGUACAAGUGUUGGACUGAUCUUGCCGAGCGUGUAGCACGUGGUACCCGCUCAGCGCUCUGUUGCAACCGUGGAUGAUCAAGAUGCACCCCUGAGCCUGGAGAUGGACCCCCCCUUCCCGUUUCCCCUCCCUCCUCCUCUGGAACUCUAGACCUGGGUGUCUUCCUCUCUGGGAUCCUUCCGUGACCCCCGGCACCAAGCAGAGCGCACCAGCACGUCUUUAUGGGUCAGUUGUGCUCCGCGUCCCCGUGAGCACACCGCACGGACGUACCCGCAUAUGUAACCUCUUCCCUUGAGGACAGCUUACCCUGGGUGGUAUCUGUGUCCCCGUGCGUUUACACCUCGGGACACGCUCCACACUGGACCCCACGGAUCCAAGGGAGCGUUACCAAAGUGUGUUCCAAAGCACAGAGUUUUAUGUGGUGUCUUGAACGGCUAUUACUUGAGGGAAGGCUUCUAAACUGUAUGUCCGUACCUGCAUAUCUGUGCGCACACGCACGCACACGCACGAACCGUGCUGCCCAAGCCUGUCUCCAGCAGGACUGCGUGGAGUCCUUACCGUUCUUAUGUGCAUUUUGGAGACUCUGGACUCUAAGUGCCACAUCCUGGGAAAUGAUGGAAAUAUAUUCCAUUCUGUCCUCCUUAUUUAUUAUUUUAUCUUCAUUUUAGAGGGGGAGGGGCAGAGAGGGACUCUUAAGCAGGCUCCGUGCUCCGCGCGGAGCCCGAGGUGAGGCUCAGUCUCACGACCCUGGCGUCGUGACCUGAGCGAAGUCAAGAGUCCGACGCUCAACCGACUGAGCCACCCAGGCGCCCCAGCUCUGUACUUACCGGGGAGUCCAGGCUUGUGACUGGACCUGCCACGCAGCAGCCAGAGGGGGGCCGUUCAGAGAAGUGUCUGAAAUACUUCGGGAGGGCACAAGGGGCUAGAGUUGGUGGGGUCCGUGCGCUUCCACGCCGAAGGAGUGCUGGUGCCGUGUUCACAGAACGGUGCCUUUCUGCCUACACUGCCCACCCGGACGAUCAAGUGCAGUGAACGGCUAGGAAGUCGUUCUGAGGGAAAGCUGUCCCUCCUCUUUCUGGAGGGAAAGAGCCAUUUAUUUUUCAUUUACUUCUGUAUUUCUGAGUCCCCAGCAUGAAAUAGCUGAUAAACAGUGAUUAUUUGUUCUGUUCCUUUAAUGCUGUUUUAGUUGAAAAAGAUAAACUUUUGGUUUAGCUGGCCAGUGAUUUAAUUUGGUUUUGUAAAGCCCCUCGCUGAUUGUCUUGCCUCUCACCUAGUGCGUUUGAAGAUGUACAGACCCAACAUUUCUCCCCGACCAGAGCAAACAAGUUUGUACACACACAGCUUUGCAGGUCAGGGGAGGCCUCCCCGGGGCCCCGUGUGACGUGAGCCAAGCACGGGCUGAGGACCGGACAAUGUGCGGGUGCCGCUCCCAGGCUGCUAAGAGUGUGACACGCUGCCACCAGCCCCCCGACACACACACACACACACACACACACACACACGGAUGCAUCUAAAUGGCACCAUUCACAGUGAAAGGGGAAAGAAGCCCUGUUUGUGUGGCUUUUAUGGUAUCCUAGCAACCAGUUCCCCAGGGCCUGAAGCCGAUGGCCGGAGGAGUCCGCGUCCUGUAAAGAAUGAGGCUUUCACAAAAGUGGACCGCUUCCUGGUUCAGGUGUUGUGGCAAGCAGACCAUUUUUAAGUGAGACGCACACACUUGGAGUUGCGCUCCUUCGGGUGGCCCCUGCUUCGCAGUUUUCCCGCGUCUCUGAAAUAGAGGCUACAAAUGACGAGCAUCGUCAGCGCACAGAUUCUGCGUCCCGCAGGGUGAGGCACAGAAAGUGGUUCUCCCCGAGGGCGCCCAGAGGUGACAGAGAAGAAGUUGAGGCAGAAACGGUCGUGACUGGCCACGGCUCCGCACUCCUGAGCAGCAGGCCUGGUGUUUAGAACCCGCACUUUCUGACUCCAGGGCCCAAGAGCUUCAUGUGGGUCCUGUGAUCGUUUGACACACUGGGGCAUGGUCCCCCCCCCCCCCCCCCGAAUGGAUGAAGCAGCCAAGGCAAAGGGUAGUGAAGUCCCAGCCUGACAGAGGGGUCGGGGGCUCCACAGCCUGCCCGGGGCCCCACGCUGUCUCUCAGGUGUGCCGGGGGCCAGGCAAGACACACGGCAGGUGUCCCCUCCCGCCGUCCUCACACGUGACCUGGACCAGCUCUACCUUGUUGCGGUUGCGGCAACUGGCCCCGAGUUGCACAUCGUAUGAAGUGGCCGCGUUGGAACUUGAGCCCAGGUCUGUCCUUUUCCAGGACCUUCCUCUGGCCUCGGCGCGGACCCCUCCUGGGCCCCCGUUCCCACACUUUCCUCUCGAAACCACGCUCCACAGGCUACCCAAGACAGAGUCCUCAUUUUUCUACUUCGCUCUUGCCCCAGGUUCUAAUUGUACUGGAGUAAAACACAGACUGUUCACCGUAUCCCGAUUCCCUGCAAGGGAGGCCUUCCCGUGGAAAGCCUUGUUGCUUUCCACUCUCCCGACACAGAGGUGACCCCGGACCUUUCUUCGUGCCUUGGGGCUUGUGCACGGCCCGCAGCCCUCUGCCCCAACACCCCUUUCUUUGUAGCCUGUGGGUCUGAGAGUGGUGGUGCCUCCUCGGAGAGGCCGCCUCCCACUGCCCUUGGCCGGUGAGUCAGUCUCUAGAAUGUAGAAGCCACAAGGGCGGGGACCUGACCAUCCUGGGAACUGUUGUUUUCCCAGCAUGGAGCGUGGUGUCUUCACAUUUGCUGACGAGCGACUAGAUCAUGGCUAACUUCUUGAGACAGCCGUGUGUGUGAUCAGCCGUUCGCAUCUUUGGAUGUAAAUCCCGUGCUAAUUCCAGUAUAAUGCUCAAGGAGCAGAUUGUUUGCAGAGAGGAGGAAAAACACGUUAGAGUAUUAGAUUUCUAUAACGGAAUGAGAUUUUUCUCGCCAGAGUGAGGCGGCCGGUACUUUAGAAGUUGUAAGAGAGACAUAUGUCAGGGAAGAACCUUAGAACUUAACGUCACCACCACAACCAGCUUGGCCUUCAUAUCAAUAGCCCAGCGGGCCCGUGGUAUUUAUUUCCAGUUAACGUGGAAGGCAGUCGCACGUGAUAAAUUUCUGCCGAGUGGUCUUCCCUUUAAAAUGGACACGGCCGAGCUCCUCCCGUAACCAGGACGAGCGGGCUCCCGGGUCUGUGCUCUGUCCUUAGUUCCCCUGCUACUGAGAGAAGUGGAAGCCGACAGCACAGGAUGAGAAACACCACCGCUCACGGGCUCGCUUCGGGGCGGAGGAGUGUGGGCGGGAAACGGACGCGUCUGCGGGCCCACCCCUCUUGACCGCCAACUUUCUGGGAGCUGGGGGGGUCGGGGGGGGUGGGGGGAGACAAGCCAGCACGGUGACCCGUGGAGCGGACCGUCCCGGGUGACCAGUGACAGUGGUAACGUGUUCAGGCCCCCGGCACGUGCGGUUUGUGAACACACCCUCUGGGGCACCUGCUGCGUCUCGUCUAGUCUGAAAUCUGCCAGAACCCCCACACUGUUUGUUUGUCAUUGAAACAGAAGCCUUGCUCUCUUAGAAGUAUUUCUGACCCUUAGCUGUGCUGUGUAAACUUCGGACUUCAUUAGCGCUAGACUGACACUCAUCUUCUGUGAUUUAGAUGAGACUACUCACUUUUUCUACUCCAAAUACUAAUUUCAUUUUGAACUGUU